CCGUGAGAAAAACAUUUCUGGAAGGAAGGAAACCCGAGGACUGAGGACCGACACCAGGAAAUGGAGAUCUGACGUGGAGCAGAUCAAAAGGUAGGGAGAGUGGGGACGGACGGUUGCAACAAGACUCCUCCAUUCAGGAAUGAGCUAGAGUGAUGAUAUUACUACAUAUUCUUAUAUAGACCCUCCUUCAAUCUCAGAUAAAUCAUCCAUAUGCGACCAUUCCUUCAGGAUAAAGCCUGUUUUAAGAUGGCAGUGUUGCUUCACUGAGGUCAUAUUUAUUCUGCAGUGUGCUGGGACUCCUGGGUGGACCAAGAAGAUGGUUAAGAAUUGCAGCACUUGCAGCAACAGCAACAGCGGGCGGCAAUGACAGUGACUACUCUGUCCCAUGGAUCAAGAGAGUGAGCCCAUAGAGGAAGGAAAUCCCAAGACCGGAGAGCAGAAGGAAGCCAUUGAGGUUUGUGCUUCUGCAGAAUGUUGACAAUGAUGGCGAAGAUCAGAAUAACUGCUAUGGGGACAAGAACUCCCACGAGUACCUUCCAGCCGGCCAUAGAGAGACCAAAGACCAGUAGAGGCAAACCGAAGAAGCAAACGAUGAUGUAAAAGGCUGCAAACCAACGGUACUGGGCUGUUGUUUCACCAAGACCCUUUGCCAGUCGGAUGGGGAUUCGUGUGAUGGGGAUUGGGUACCACAACAAUAUCCCGGAUAAGUUGAAGAAGAGGUGAACCAAUGCAAUCUAUAGCAACCUGUCCCUUGAGCAUCGAAUUCAGCAGCUUCACAAUACAAAUGAGGCAAGUGCACAGAAUGAGCAGAGAACCCGCCAGCAGAAUCAGACCCACCGCCAGGUCCGAAAGGCUCGUGUUCACGAAAAUGUGACUGCCUGUGUGAAUAGAGAAUAACGUAAAAGAUCCUGGCCUGAGCAGAAGCACUGGUGCUGAUGGAGACCACGUUCAGAUCCAGACUCAGCUGUGCUGUUCUUCAGAGUGGCUCAGUCCGGCCUCUGUUGGGUCACAGGCAUUUAUAGCCCUCCGCAGAUCAUCCAGGAUUCCCCUGUUCCAAGGUUUACCACGGGACUGAUAACACUGUGCGACAGGAAGUUUGUCUGUGUGUGUGUGUGUGUGUGUGUGUGUGUGUGUGUGUCUGCGUGUGUGCAUGCGCAUGUGUGUGUGUGUGCUGUGCAUGGUUCAAAGUGUCCGCUGUGGCAUCAGAUAAAGUGGAUUUUAAAAGGUAAAAUAUAUAUAUAAAAGUCCUUAUUAGUAGUUAUGAUGGUAAUACACAGUAUGGCCUUUAUUACUGUAAGUUACAUAUAUACUGUAUUUCUGUUUUAGAUCAAAUACUGUUUAAUGUGGCUUUAUUAAAAUGUGUGUGUAUGU